rnacentral:rRNA from 1 species
AGUGAACGCUGGCGGUAGGCCUAACACAUGCAAGUCGAACGGCAGCACAGUAAGAGCUUGCUCUUACGGGUGGCGAGUGGCGGACGGGUGAGGAAUACAUCGGAAUCUACUUUUUCGUGGGGGAUAACGUAGGGAAACUUACGCUAAUACCGCGUACGACCUACGGGUGAAAGCAGGGGAUCUUCGGACCUUGCGCGAUUGAAUGAGCCGAUGUCGGAUUAGCUAGUUGGCGGGGUAAAGGCCCACCAAGGCGACGAUCCGUAGCUGGUCUGAGAGGAUGGUCGGCCACACUGGAACUGAGACACGGUCCAGACUCCUACGGGAGGCAGCAGUGGGGAAUAUUGGACAAUGGGCGCAAGCCUGAUCCAGCCAUACCGCGUGGGUGAAGAAGGCCCUCGGGUUGUAAAGCCCUUUUGUUGGGAAAGAAAAGCAGCAGGUUAAUACCCCGCUGUUCUGACGGUACCCAAAGAAUAAGCACCGGCUAACUUCGUG